CCUACGGGAGGCAGCAGUGGGGAAUAUUGGACAAUGGGCGCAAGCCUGAUCCAGCAAUGCCGCGUGUGUGAAGAAGGCCUGCGGGUUGUAAAGCACUUUUAUUGGGAAAGAAAAACCUGGGGUUAAUACCCCCAGCAUUGGCGGUACCCAAGGAAUAAGCACCGGCUAACUCCGUGCCAGCAGCCGCGGUAAUACGGAGGGUGCGAGCGUUAAUCGGAAUUACUGGGCGUAAAGCGAGUGUAGGCGGCUGCGUAAGUCGGUUGUGAAAGCCCUGGGCUUAACCUGGGAAUUGCAUUCGAUACUGCGCAGCUAGAGUCUGAUAGAGGGAAGUGGAAUUCCGGGUGUAGCGGUGAAAUGCGUAGAUAUCCGGAGGAACACCAGUGGCGAAGGCGGCUUCCUGGAUCAAGACUGACGCUGAGGCUCGAAAGCGUGGGGAGCAAACAGGAUUAGAUACCCUGGUAGUCCACGCCCUAAACGAUGUCAACUAGACGUUGGGUUCAUUCAGGAACUUAGUGUCGAAGCUAACGCGUUAAGUUGACCGCCUGGGGAGUACGGCCGCAAGGUUGAAACUCAAAUGAAUUGACGG
rnacentral:rRNA from 1 species